rnacentral:rRNA from 1 species
GACGAACGCUGGCGGCGUGCUUAACACAUGCAAGUCGAACGGAAAGGCCCUGCUUUUGUGGGGUGCUCGAGUGGCGAACGGGUGAGUAACACGUGAGUAACCUGCCCUUGACUUUGGGAUAACUUCAGGAAACUGGGGCUAAUACCGGAUAGGAGCUCCUGCUGCAUGGUGGGGGUUGGAAAGUUUCGGCGGUUGGGGAUGGACUCGCGGGUUAUCAGCUUGUUGGUGGGGUAGUGGCUUACCAAGGCUUUGACGGGUAGCCGACCUGAGAGGAUGACCGGCCACAUUGGGACUGAAAUACGGCCCAGACUCCUACGGGAGGCAGCAGUGGGGAAUAUUGCACAAUGGGCGAAAGCCUGAUGCAGCAACGCCGCGUGCGGGAUGACGGCCUUCGGGUUGUAAACCGCUUUCGCCUGUGACGAAGCGUGAGUGACGGUAAUGGGUAAAGAAGCACCGGCGAACUACGU